rnacentral:rRNA from 1 species
UACGGAGGGUGCAAGCGUUAAUCGGAAUUACUGGGCGUAAAGCGCGCGUAGGUUGCUGGUUAAGCGAGAUGUGAAAGCCCCGGGCUCAACCUGGGAAUUGCAUUUCGAACUGGCCAGCUAGAGUACAGUAGAGGGUGGUGGAAUUUCCUGUGUGGCGGUGAAAUGCGUAGAGAUGGGAAGGAACAUCAGUGGCGAAGGCGACCACCUGGACUGAUACUGACACUGAGGUGCGAAUGCGUGGGGAGCAAACAGG